GCAGGAUCCCCCCUGGGGCUGGGCAAGCACAGGGCUGUACACUGUACCUUGCACCCUGUUCCUUGCCACCCUAGAAGUGCCAGGCCCAGUGCCCAGGACGCCCCAAGAGAACGAACCAGCCUCAGUCUGCAGAGUGGAGAAGACCCUGGACUAAGGAGACAUGGUCCCAGACUCAUGCAAGUGGCCCAAGAUGUCCCACAGAGAUGUGCAGGAAAACAGGAAGGCAUGUCACUAUAAGCAGAAACACACAGACGGUACAGACAAGCUACACAAGUAACAAAGGGAGACAAGGGAACCAACUGGUAACUGUGGUGCAGGUGGUAGUGAAUUUUCAGCGUUUCCAGUAGGAAUAAUUCUAAGACUUCCUGCCUCAGCUUCCUAAUGUCUGGACGUCCAUAAUAACUUGCAAAAACUAAAAUUUGAGAAGCCAGCUCCAGCCCUGCAAACAUACAAACCAGGACUAAAAGCAGCUUUCGUGGAAGAUGGGGAUGGCCAGGACACACCUCCCAGACCAGCCAGUCACAGGUGGGGCUCCUGCACCUCGAUGGGAGUCAGUCACCCAGGUGCCACCAGACAAGCCCCAGCAGGCCCGGGAGACGCCUCGACAUCCUGGAGAGGGGCGUCCCGGAGAGAGGAGCGGGGUAGUCAAAUAAUCCUUCCAGAAGUGUAACUGUGGUGAACAUUCAUGAAGAGCUUUGGUGCACUGAUUUUACAUUAACUUUCCUCUUUUCGUUCCUGGGGACUGAACCUAGGACCUCUUGUUUUACUACAGACUAUACCUUCAGGCCCACACUACUUUUAAUAACGGAACCAGUAAAGACAUAAA